rnacentral:rRNA from 1 species
AUUGAACGCUGGCGGCAGGCUUAACACAUGCAAGUCGAGCGAGCGGCGGACGGGUGAGUAAUGUCUGGGAAACUGCCUGAGGGAGGGGGAUAACUACUGGAAACGGUAGCUAAAACCGCAUACCUACAGAUGUGACCAGAUGGGAUUAGCUAGUGGGUGGGGUAUUGGCUCACCUAGGCGACGAGCCCUAGCUGGUCUGAGAGGAUGACCAGCCACACUGGAACUGAGACACGGUACAGAGUCCUACGGGAGGCAGCAGCGGGGAAUAUUGCACAAUGGGCGAAAGCCUGAUGCAGCCAUGCCGCGUGUGUGAAGAAGGCCUUCGGGUUGUAAAGCACUUUCAGCGAGGAGGCGUUACUCGCAGAAGAAGCACCGGCUAACUCCGUGCCAGCAGCCGCGGUAAUAC